rnacentral:rRNA from 1 species
CGGGGGGGUAAGCGUUGUUCGGAAUUACUGGGCGUAAAGGGCUCGUAGGCGGCCAACUAAGUCAUACGUGAAAAUCCCUCAGCUUAACUGGGGAACUGCGUGUGAUACUGGAUGGCUUGGAUUUGGGAGAGGGAUGCGGAAUUCCAGGUGUAGCGGUGAAAUGCGUAGAUAUCUGGAGGAACACCGGUGGCGAAGGCGGCAUCCUGGACCAAUAUUGACGCUGAGGAGCGAAAGCCAGGGGAGCAAACGGGAUUAGAUACCCCGGUAGUCCUGGCCCUAAACGAUGAAUGCUUGGUGUAGCGGGUAUCGAUCCCUGCUGUGCCGAAGCUAACGCAUUAAGCAUUCCGCCUGGGGAGUACGGUCGCAAGGCUG